rnacentral:misc_RNA from 1 species
ACCUCAUGUUAUUUUGAAUAACCAUUCCCUAUUGUGAUUGAUUAAAAACGUGUUUUAGAUCCCUCCACUAAACAAAUUGCUUUGCUGAGUUUCCUGUUUCUUCAAGGUUCCUCCAUCCACCAUAUUUCGAUUUCAGAACUAUGGUCCACAGCUCACCAUUUUCUUGCAUUAAUUGCCACUUCCAUUUUCCAAGUAGUGCGAGGUUGAAUGUUUCAAUAUCCUUGAUGCCCAAGCCAGCCUUUUCUUAUGGUAAGCAUACCGAUUUCCAUUAAAUCCAUGCAAUCCUUUUGUGAAUUGCCUUCUGAAUUUCUUCGUCCAUGAAAGGUGC